rnacentral:rRNA from 1 species
UACGGAGGGAGCUAGCGUUGUUCGGAAUUACUGGGCGUAAAGCGCGCGUAGGCGGCUUUGUAAGUUAGAGGUGAAAGCCCGGAGCUCAACUCCGGAACUGCCUUUAAAACUGCAUCGCUUGAAUCCAGGAGAGGUGAGUGGAAUUCCGAGUGUAGAGGUGAAAUUCGUAGAUAUCGAGAGGAACACCGGUGGCGAAGGCGGCCAACUGGACAGAUACUGACGCUGAGACUCGAAAGCGUGGGGAGCAAACAGG